CUUUAGCUCCUUCAUUCUAUCCCUCCUUGGAAGAUGAAUAGCCACUUUGUAAACUGAAUUCCAUUUUACUGGGAUCUGUUUUGCAGGGAGACAGCAUUGCAUGGCGCUGACGUUGCCGCCAGGCUGUGCGGAGUCGAAUUCUUCACCACAUGCUGGCUGUGUGGGCUUAAACUCUUCGUGUCUCAGUUCCUUGACAGUAAAGGAGUGGAAUUGAGCAGUGUGAAAAUGAACCAAUACAAGUCCCGGCCAUCAUCUGAUCUAUUCUGAGGGAUCGGGGUUACCUGAGGGAUUGGGAGAUUCCUGAUGCUUUCACCAAGAGAGACCAGUGACCUAUUGAAGUGGUGCCUCUGGCUCAGUCGGCCUCAGUCUUCCGCUGGGACUCAGACCUGCUCCGGAAGCCAUCCUAGAAUCCCUGGGAAGGGCUCCCUUUAUUCCUGGACCGCCUUUGAUGACACACAACCUUUGACCCUGAUCAAUGCAUCCUCCUCCCAAGCAGUGCAGACAGGAGCAGCUCUCUCAGCACCCAGAGGAAGCGCGGGCAUUCGGCUCUGACCUCUCACCCUGCCCCUAACCUCACUGAUAAUUGAGUUUUCCAUUCGUACUCACCAGCAGGCUCUCUACACAAAGAAACAAGCCCCCCUUACUCUGUCUUUACCGAGAUGAAACCACGAGCGGAGUCUGUUCAGCCAACACCAGCAUCCGGUACCGGAACACACAAGAGGAUCGGAUCUGGGUCCCGGCUCCCCGAUUCCAUCCUGGGCCUCCCAGCACCUCCCAUGCCGCUAGGACAGAGCACCUGACUCAGACAGCAUUUGUUUCUCCUAGUGUGGCACUUGAAGAGAGAACUGUGUCUCUUUGAAAAAUGUUCAUGUUGCAGAGCAAUUUAAAACACACACCUCCUUCCAAGUGCCCUUCCAUAAAAGCCUGCUUUCCAGAAGCUCCUGGAAUCCUAAAAACUGAAUCAAAGACAUUUUAAAAUGAACUUUCUCUACCUCCCUUUGAAUCUUUGUAAAAUCUCUUAUUGUAGAAUAAAGUAAGCUAUCAACAAGCCCUUUCUAAACAUUUCCACCCUAAGUUUGCCCUAUGCGUGGAAAGAAUGGAUGGCUAGAAUCACCCCCUCGACCUCCUGCUGAAGAGGACAAGGUGCUGGUGUGGGAGGCAAGUCCCCAGCCAGUGAGUUGGGGCUCCCGGAACCGCUGUCCACGAGGAGGGGAGGAUGGAGUCCUGAGAUGCCCGCACUACCCUCGGCAAAUGCUUGCGGGCUUCUAACUUAGGAAUGGUAAUGACCUCAUUAGCAUCAUGCACUUCCCCCUGCAAGUGACACCAUCUCCUCUGGCUCUCACACCCCCACUGAGGUAGCUAGAUCUUGUGCCAAGAAACCAAAGGGCAGAGGAUGUGUCCAAGGUCACCAGAAGAGGUGGAGCCAAGACUUCGAGCUAAGUUUUCGGACUCUGCAGCCAUGAAACUUGGGGAGUGCCCCGCUGCUUCUAGAGGAGCACCCCUGGAAGGCAGAAGAACCAGAGGAAGCUUCCAGGGUAGGACAAAAACACAAGAACAUAUGAAAGCAGAGACAGAACUGUUCUUGCCAGAGGGAGAGGUGGAGACUUCAGAAGACAGAACAGUCGCCAUGGCAGUGGCAUUCUGGGGGGUGGAGGGGCUUCCUGGGGAGGAAGGGCCCAGCUGAGCCUUAAGGAUGGAGCAGCAUUGAGAGUAGUAGAGGGGAGAUGGCGAGGUGCUUUAGCAGGGGGACCUGCCUGGGAAGAGGCUUCAAGCAGGAAGCCCUGAUGGAGACAAUGUUGAGGUCCUGGGCCGACAGCCUGUUGGAGAGAGAGGGAGGGCCACACGUGCAAGGCCUUGAAAGUUGAGCCAGGAGUUGGGGCUUUCUGUGUAAGCAGUCUCUUAGAAUACCUACUGUAGGGGUGUAGUGUGCAGUCUUUAACAACAAGGACAUUUUCCCAUUUGGAAAUUGAAAAGUGGGAAAACUCAGCCAGAAUGGCACCCAUAUAUGGGCCAAUCAAAGCAAGACCCAUUGGCCUAAAAGCCUCCUCUUCAUUCCCCACUGCCUGCCCUCUUGCCCAGACAGUGUGAAGCUCCCUAGGCCCGUGCUCAAUCUCCAGCCUUCUGGGCUGCUUUAUGGCAGAUUCGGAUGCAAAAGGUCUGGGAGUGACUCAAGAAUCUCUGUUUUUACUGAGUGUCCAUAGGUGUUGUUAACCACGAACCAGUUUAGAAAGAAGAAACACCACUGUGAGGAUCACCCGGGGCACUAGGAAAUAACAGGGCCUCUCCUCUGCAGAGCCUGAGCUAGCAGGUCCAUGGGGAGAACCAGGAAUCUGGGUCUUUAACAAAAGCAGGGCCAGGUUUUGGUUGAGAUGAGCAAGGUGAGCCAUCCAAGUGCAGGGUCAACUCCUGUCCUCAUUUCAAAGUUUCUUCGCUCCAUUGCUCAUCAUGGACAUUUUUGCACUGAUUUUUGUUAUCAUUUAUCUUGAUAACUGAGUUUUUUUUGGCUUCUCCUUAAAAUUUGCACCUAAAAUGAGUGUCUCACUUGCCUCACCCUUGUCUUGGCCCACAACAAAAGCCCCAGGUGAUCCCCAGGAUGAUGGCUGAGUCCAGGACACUCAGCACAGCCUUCCAGCUCUUUCCUUUGCCUGCAUUUCCAGCCUCAUCCACCUCAUCCCUGAGCACAGGCUCUGCACACCCACCCCAGCCCAGUGACCAGCUCUCCAAACAGCCUCUGCACAUACUCUUCCUUCUUCUUGCAAUGUCCUUGCUGCCUCUGGGGUCCCCACUCCACCUGGGCAGCCCCUCCUCCAAUGCCACCAAUGGCCCCCUGUAUACAUAUAGGGCUGGGAGCUCUGCCACACUCUCCCGCUGA
rnacentral:lncRNA from 10 species